CGCCCAUGGUGGCAGCAGCUGUAGGAGAUGGGGAAGAGAUCCUGCUCUCUCUUUAUUUACUUGACAACCGCGGAUGGGGAGGAUGCGGGUGGGGUGAAUUACAUGGAGAAUGGAGUAGGCGGCGAGCUCCACAAAGGGGAUGAGGGGCGUGGGGCUGAAGGUAUGGUUCGCUACAGCGGUGGUGACACGGAACCUACCACGCCCACCGGAUCUCGGUUGUUGCUCUCUCUCGAUCUGUUCGAUACUCGGUUGUUUCUUUACUCUCCAUCCAGAUCCUGCAGAGGCGCCUUGGGCUGGUGAGGUCGCUGGUGUUGGCAACGAUGCUGCAGAUCGGGUCGCACCUCUUUGUCACCUGGAGCUUCCCCGAGGUUCCCGGUACUAUUGAUGGUGUCUCUUUCUGUUCUUAUUACUGCUGCACAAAGCUGUUGAGCUUGGUCGUUUUCCUUUCUUGGUUGUGUUUGCAGACCAGGACACACAUCGUGGUGACUUGGUCAGCUCCUUGGUCAUCAUCUGGUCCAUCACCGAGGUAUGUAUUCACCAUUGACUUCACUCAUAUCAUACGCUCCUUGAAAGCUAGGGACUACAGUUGUUCAUAAUAAAUGUAUUAUCAAGCCGCGAGGCGCUCCUGUUGAUGUGCACACUAGCUCGAGAUGUGUCCCUCAAUUAAUGCAAAUGCGAGUAUGCGAUGACGAUUUGACAUGUGUGUGUUGCUGCUUCAAAUUGAAUUUCUAGAUACUAAUGAGGAAUUUAACAAAGAAUUAUUAUAGCUUAAUUUACUAUACUUCACUAUUAUAUCAGGGGAGAUGUGGUUACAUCUUAAUUUACUAUGCUUCAAACUGUUUUCACGCUAUUGUAUGGUGCUUGCGAGACCUUGCCAUCUAAGGUUGCUCCAAAAUAACGGCUAGGCAACGCCUUAAACUAUGUGUUUGGUGAAACUUUUAAAUAGGAGAAUAUAGUGGAAACAUUGCAAUACCCACACACUUGUUCAGAAGUGUUUUGAAGCGUUGUAACCGGAGGCCAGUUUCAAGUAAAAUAAAAAAGGGAGUAUUGACAAUGUGUCUUCAGUAUGUUAUGUAGAAGGUAGUGUCCCACCUUUGUAUUUUCAUAUGGUUUGUUUACCACAGGCCAUCAGUUUUUGUAAUUUUGUGUGCUCGUUCUCUGAAAAUUAUUUCAUGUUAUUUGUACUCAGGUGCGUAACCUAACUACUCCCUCUGUCCCGCAAUUCUUAUCUGGACCACCACCAACCGGAGACGACGGGAACCGUAGCUGCUGCAACAACCUGUUAACCCGCCGGUGGCAGCAAGCUAAAGGCUCCCCCUUGCAAGGUCAAAGGAGAAGUACAACAGCGACAAUGUCCUGGAGCAGCACGGCGAUCUGGACGGGAAGGAGGGUAGCAGCAGGACGAGGGGCGCAACUAAGCCGUCUUGCUCUCUUCGGUCGACCCUCCAUGACGGACGCCACAAGAUCUUCUGUCUGCAGAAAGUGAAUUACUUGCUCAUCUAUUUAUUCUUUUGAAAUUGCAGCUGAAUUUUGUCAAACCUAGAGCGGGAUUUUGCAGCAAGAGAUAUCUCUGACAACCACUGUGCAAUCAUCUCAACGAUAAAAAUUUAGUGUAAAAUUUUGUCAAACUGAAUCUUUCUCAACAGAUUUAGUUAUUUUGCUAAAAAAUCAGUUUUGUAUCCUGCUCUGAAUAUAAAGUGUACUGCUUAUUGCAAGCAAGUUUAAAAUUUCAGUCUAAAAGUCAGUUAACUGAAUUUUGACACAAUAGUUAACUGAAUUUACUGUCAUCCCUAUCAAAUGCAGUUUAUCCGUUCGUCCUGCUUCUCACUUUCUUCUAUGUUUUCUAAGAAAAAAUUAACUUCCUUCUGUAGUUAUUCACAUGAUAUAUGUGCCAACUUCCUUUCGCAAAAUCUUGCCAUCUUGACCAACAUUUUGACAGGCUUACUGCUAAUCUAGGGCCACAUGAGACUUUGUUGGGUUAGUUAUUUUUCGCACCAACCAACAAUGCAUAGAAAUCUGCUAGAUUACCCAAGUCCAUAGCAAAGGAGGAAGAAAGUGAAAUGUGAGGCUGAUCAACUUAUCCAUCAGCUAGAUAACCCCAAGUGUAACUGGGUUCAGGGCCUGUACUUGCUUACCGAUGGAAAAGGACAAAUAAUUGGAUUGCUGUUUUCAACAAUGGGUGUUGAUGUUUGCAUGAUCAGUGUUAAUCCAAGGUAAUCAAAGUACUGAAUCACUCCUUUCUGGAGUAUUGUCAUUUAACAAUAAACUGAGUUACUGCCAUUUAAGAGUAAAUUGAAUUUAUCUUGAGUAUGCAGUAAACUUGCUAGAGUACAAAUUUAUGCAUUACUCCAUAUUUUCUGAAGUACUGUCAUUUACUCCAUACUCCAAAUUUAUGCAUUAUUCCUUGCUGGAGUAUUUUUAAAAUACUCCUAGUGUUAAAAUCGUCAUGUUGUAUAAACUUGGCAUCUUGUUGUUCACUAUAUUUCUUUUCACUGAUGCAUUUUCCAUGUUAUUUUAAUCUGACAUACCACAUUAAUUUCUUAUUCAACGAUGUUCUUAACUAUUUACAGGUUGUAACAAAAUUUCUCACUAUGGAGUCCUUGCUUGACGAGAGCGUUGACAAGGAGAUAAAUUUGCAGAUCGAAUGAGGUGGAACUCCUUUAACAGUAACGCUGAAGGUAGUUUGCAAGCUUGCCAUGUCUUGUUUAAUCUUCAUACCAGAGAGCAGUAUAUAUGAUCGAUUACUCCGUGUAAUAAUGCAUCUUUGACUUUGCAGAUCGAAAUGUAGGAACUAGUUAUUUUGGAAGAACUAGUUAUGUAGGAACAGUCUAUAUAAGGAUGUAUAUAGAUAUAUUUUAAAAUAUUUAUCUAUUUAUUUCGUUUCAUACGUACUCUGUAGUAAAAUCUUUAAAAGAUCUUAUAUUUAAAAACAAAGGAGGUUGAGUAUUGGUCAGAUGCUUAUAGUAGGCCUAAUUAAGUAGCCCAUUGUUUAUCACAUACAUGCAUGAACCUUUUGUUUGAGAAUCAUACGUGCAUGGAUGUUGCCCAGGUAAACCAAGACGCACGGUAGAAUCUUCCCACUGUUUAUCAUGUAUGUAAGCUGUCUCACAGACAUCGAGCCUGGGCAAGUGCCCGGGGUGGUCGGGCGCUGGCUCCGCCACUGCCUACUUUCAUUGUUCUUUUCUGAGCCGAAUAGCUUAUGCUCUCAGAGUAUCAGGAAAAGAAUAUGUAAUUGUUUCUAUGGUAUUUGGCCUUCAUGUAUAUUUCAUACCGUAUCUCCGUAUGCCUUCUUUCUUGUGCAGUAAACAUAAAAAUAUAUGCUACAUUAUAAUAUUCUGUACCAGGUGCACGCACACUUUGCAUGCAUUUUUACAUCAUGGUGAUUAGAAGCAGAAUAGACAAUUAUUCAGAGACGUAAAGAUUAGAAUAAAAAAGAUUCACAUGUAUUUUAUCUGUACCUUCAUUACUAGAAGUUGUAUGCUUUCUUAUGUUUGAUUAUUUGAAUUACCAGGAUGAUCUGAAGCACCCAAAAGAAGUAGAGGACAUGACGGGAGAAGGGAACAAGAAGCUUCGUUUAUCAUUGAUGUUAUGUUGUGCACUUGUUGGGCCUUGAACCUUUAUGUGUAGAGGAGUCGAUGAAUGAUGUAUUGUAAUUCAUGUGAUGUGUUACUGAAAUGAAAUAUAUACAACUAAUUUGCAAUAUUUUAUUCUUGUGUAUUUGUUUUUUAAUUGGUCUAUCCUGAGAUAUACAUGCUUUUAGUAAAAUAAUGCAUCAGCC
rnacentral:lncRNA from 1 species